UAAAAUACUUGGAGCCAUCAAACAGCUGCUCUGCAGAUUCUAGAAUUCGAAGAGUUGGUGGACUGCCGAACGCGCCCUCAGUGUAUACAUAACCCGAGGUUUUUGUGGACCCGAAGUAAGAAACUGAGAACCGCGCGACCACCCCCCAAACUACUCCCGAAAUCCGAUCCCCUCGGUCCACUAGCUUCUCCCUUUCCGCCUCUCAAUCCGCGCGGCGACGAAGGGGAGGGAAUCCCCUAGGUUUUUAGCUGCGAGCGUCGCCGGCGGGCAGUCGGGGGCCGCGACGGCCAAGGGGAACGGGAGUGCGGACCGUCGCGGACCUCCGCAGAGGGGCAGCGUGUCAACAGCCGAAGCACCAGCAUUCCACCCGAGCGACCACGCACGCGAGGAAUAGGAGGGGAAGCUCUCGGUGGCGCGUGGCGGCGAACGUCUCCGUUAGAAGGUAGUCAACUGGGACAGCUUCGAGAUGCAUGUUCACAAGAGGGUGAAAGACCAUGUUAGCUCACCGGAUGUUGCCAAGCAGAUCCCCAUUGAGAGGUUGAGGUGACCAUCCGCGACCAGUGCGAAGGCAGCCAAAGGACAUGCAUCUGUUGGUGAUGGGAUCUGUUAGGAUGCCAACCAAAGUGCUCAACAUCACCACCAAGAAGUCCCCUUGUGUCGCAAGGUGACCUUGUGGUGGUGGUGCGCCGCCUUGCUUCCGGCGCUAACGAGAUGGUGGGGUUGUUGCCGUGGUUACCCGUGGUUAGUUACUCUUUUUCAGUACAACAUGGAAUUCAAAUGGGUUGUACUACUUGUGGUUAUUUUACUUGGACUACAAGUUCAGUCUGUUUGCUGUCCACAAGAGCCAACAUCUUCAUCAUGUAACAACUCCACAAUAGUGUCUAAAGACCCCUGUGUCAACACCACUACCGUUUGCUCCAAGAUAGAAUCCCUCAAAGACAAGCUUAUCCCUCGGUUCUCUUUCGUUAUCUCCUAUAAUAUUGUUUUGUCCAAUCUUGCGUAUCAAAGAUUUGAAGCCGGAUCCACAAUCUGAUUCACAGACAUUCUUUUGGUGGUU